GCUGGCGGCGUGCCUAAUACAUGCAAGUCGAACGCACUCUCGUUUAGAUUGAAGGAGCUUGCUCCUGAUUGAUAAACAUUUGAGUGAGUGGCGGACGGGUGAGUAACACGUGGGUAACCUGCCCUAAAGUGGGGGAUAACAUUUGGAAACAGAUGCUAAUACCGCAUAAAACCUAACACCGCAUGGUGUAGGGUUGAAAGAUGGUUUCGGCUAUCACUUUAGGAUGGACCCGCGGUGCAUUAGUUAGUUGGUGAGGUAAAGGCUCACCAAGACCGUGAUGCAUAGCCGACCUGAGAGGGUAAUCGGCCACACUGGGACUGAGACACGGCCCAGACUCCUACGGGAGGCAGCAGUAGGGAAUCUUCCACAAUGGACGAAAGUCUGAUGGAGCAACGCCGCGUGAGUGAAGAAGGUUUUCGGAUCGUAAAACUCUGUUGUUGGAGAAGAAUGUAUCUGAUAGUAACUGAUCAGGUAGUGACGGUAUCCAACCAGAAAGCCACGGCUAACUACGUGCCAGCAGCCGCGGUAAUACGUAGGUGGCAAGCGUUGUCCGGAUUUAUUGGGCGUAAAGCGAGCGCAGGCGGUUUCUUAAGUCUGAUGUGAAAGCCUUCGGCUCAACCGAAGAAGUGCAUCGGAAACUGGGAAACUUGAGUGCAGAAGAGGACAGUGGAACUCCAUGUGUAGCGGUGAAAUGCGUAGAUAUAUGGAAGCACACCAGUGGCGAAGGGCGGCUGUCUGGUCUGUAACUGACGCUGAGGCUCGAAAGCAUGGGUAGCAAACAGGAUUAGAUACCCUGGUAGUCCAUGCCGUAAACGAUGAGUGCUAGGUGUUGGAGGGUUUCCGCCCUUCAGUGCCGCAGCUAACGCAUUAAGCACUCCGCCUGGGGAGUACGACCGCAAGGUUGAAACUCAAAGGAAUUGACGGGGGCCCGCACAAGCGGUGGAGCAUGUGGUUUAAUUCGAAGCAACGCGAAGAACCUUACCAGGUCUUGACAUCCUUUGACCACUCUAGAGAUAGAGCUUUCCCUUCGGGGACAAAGUGACAGGUGGUGCAUGGUUGUCGUCAGCUCGUGUCGUGAGAUGUUGGGUUAAGUCCCGCAACGAGCGCAACCCUUAUUACUAGUUGCCAGCAUUUAGUUGGGCACUCUAGUGAGACUGCCGGUGACAAACCGGAGGAAGGUGGGGACGACGUCAAAUCAUCAUGCCCCUUAUGACCUGGGCUACACACGUGCUACAAUGGAUGGUACAACGAGUUGCGAGACCGCGAGGUUUAGCUAAUCUCUUAAAACCAUUCUCAGUUCGGAUUGUAGGCUGCAACUCGCCUACAUGAAGCCGGAAUCGCUAGUAAUCGCGGAUCAGCAUGCCGCGGUGAAUACG
rnacentral:rRNA from 1 species